rnacentral:rRNA from 1 species
CCUACGGGAGGCAGCAGUGGGGAAUAUUGGACAAUGGAGGCAACUCUGAUCCAGCAAUGCCGCGUGUGUGAUGAAGGCCCUAGGGUUGUAAAGCACUUUCAACGGUGAAGAUGAUGACGGUAGCCGUAGAAGAAGCCCCGGCUAACUUCGUGCCAGCAGCCGCGGUAAUACGAAGGGGGCGAGCGUUAUUCGGAAUUAUUGGGCGUAAAGGGCUCGCAGGCUGCUUGAACAGUUAGACGUGAAAUCCCCGGGCUUAACCUGGGAACUGCGUUUAAUACUAGCAAGCUAGAGAAAUAGAGAGGAAAGUGGAACUCCCAGUGUAGAGGUGAAAUUCGUAGAUAUUGGGAAGAACACCAGUGGCGAAAGCGACUUUCUGGCUAUUUUCUGACGCUGAGGAGCGAAAGCGUGGGGAGCAAACAGGAUUAGAUACCCUGGUAGU